AUUGAACGCUGGCGGCAGGCCUAACACAUGCAAGUCGACCGAGUGGCGGCCGGGUGCGUACUGUCUGGGCACCUGCCCGCUGGAUUGGGAUAACUACUGGAAACGGUAGCUAAUACCGCAUACCAUCGGCUGUGCCCAGAUGGGAUUAGCUCGUAGGUGGGGUAACGGCUCACCUAGGCGACGAUCCCUAGCUGGUCUGCGAGGAUGACCGGCAACACGGGAACUGAGACACGGUCCAGACUCCUACGGGAGGCAGCAGUGGGGAAUAUUGCACAAGGGGGGCAAGCCUGAUGAAGCAAGGCGGAGUGUAGGAAGAAGGCGUGCGGGUUGUAAAGUACUUUCAGCGAGGAGGCGUUACUAGCAGAAGAAGCACCGGCUAACUCCGUGCCAGCAGCCGCGGUAAUAC
rnacentral:rRNA from 1 species